rnacentral:rRNA from 2 species
CCUUCAGGGAUCCCUAGUACGGCGAGUGAAGCGGGAAGAGCUCAAAUUUGAAAUCUGGCAGUCUUCGAUUGUCCGAGUUGUAAUCUAUAGAGGCGUUUUCCGUGCCGGACCGUGUCCAAGUCUCCUGGAAAGGAGUAUCAAAGAGGGUGAUAAUCCCGUACUUAACACGACCACCGGUGCUCUGUGAUACGUCUUCUACGAGUCGAGUUGUUUGGGAAUGCAGCUCAAAAUGGGUGGUGAAUUCCAUCUAAAGCUAAAUAUUGGCGAGAGACCGAUAGCGAACAAGUACCGUGAGGGAAAGAUGAAAAGCACUUUGGAAAGAGAGUUAAACAGUACGUGAAAUUGUUGAAAGGGAAACGAUUGAAGUCAGUCGUGUUCUUUGGAUUCAGCCAGUUCUGCUGGUCUACUUCCUUGGAACGGGUCAACAUCAGUUUUGUCCGGUGGAUAAAGGUAGUAGGAAUGUGACUUCUCCGGAAGUGUUAUAGCCUAUUAUCACAUACACUGGGUGAGACUGAGGACUGCAGCUCGCCUUUAUGGCCGGCCUUCGGGCACGUUCGAGCUUAGGAUGUUGACAUAAUGGCUUUAAACGACCCGUCUUGAAACGGGAACCAAAA